rnacentral:rRNA from 1 species
CCGUAGCCUGUUUAGUAAAUUCGUGGGUAAAUCAACCAGCUUAACUGGUUGAAUUCUGCAAAGACUGCUAGACUAGGGACCGGGAGAGGUGUGAGGUACUCUAGGGGUAGAGGUAAAAUUCUGUCAUCCUUGGAGGACCACCAGUUGCGAAGGCGUCACACUAGAACGGAUCCGACGGUCAGGGACGAAGCCUAGGGGCACGAACCGGAUUAGAUACCCGGGUAGUCCUAGGUGUAAACGCUGUGAACUUGGUGUCGGGGGUCCGCAAGGGGUCCCCGGUGCCGGAGUGAAGAUGUUAAGUUCACUGCCUGGGGAGUACGGUCGCAAGGCUGAAACUUAAAGGAAUUGGCGGGGGAGCACUGCAACGGGAGGAGCGUGCGGUUUAAUUGGAUUCAACGCCGGAAAACUCACCAGGGCCGACUGUUAGAUGAAGACCAGCGUAACGAGCUUGUCGGAUUUUCAGAGAGGUGGUGCAUGGCCGUCGUCAGUUCGUACUGUAAAGCGUUCUGUUAAGUCAGAUAACGAACGAGACCCUCAUCUCUAUUUGCUACCCUGUUCUCCGGAACAGGCGCACUAUAGAGAGACCGCUGGUGUGAAACCAGAGGAAGGCGAGGGCAACGACAGGUCAGUAUGCCCCGAAUGUCUUGGGCUACACGCGCGCUACAAAGGACAGGACAAUGGGAUGCUAGGCCGAGAGGCAUUCACGCUAACCCGAAACCUGUUCAUAGUUCGGAUUGAGGGCUGUAACUCGCCCUCAUGAAGCUGGAUUCCGUAGUAAUCGUGUUUCAAUAUAGCACGGUGAAUAUGCCCCUGCUCCUUGCACACACCGCCCGUCAAACCAUCUUAGUUGGGGAUGGAUGAGGCUGCGUUUUAAUGGCGUAUUCGAGUCUGUCUUCGACAAGGAGGGUUAAGUCGUAACAAGGUAUCUGUAGGGGAACCUGCAGAU